rnacentral:lncRNA from 1 species
GAAGGGACUGAAGAUGUUUCUCUCUGUCUCUCUGCAUUUUUGUAUAUGUAGCUGGAAGAAACGAAGAACCUCAACAAUUUUUAUUUCUACUUUUGAUCAAGGAAAAGCGUAUUUAGAAGGUUCGCUAGAGAAAAAUUUAGCAGUUUGGAGGAUUGAGAUCCUUUGGCAGAGAUAUGGGAGUGUGAGCAGGAAAUAUUUUUUUAAAGGAAGAGCUGGUGUUUUAGGAUGUCAAAGGUACAAAUUAUGAUGGUGCCAUGGUUGACAGAAAUUUGCAAGAUCUCCGUAUCUACAUGAACUCUUUGCUCCUGACUAUUAGCUGACUGGUCCAGAAAUUCUUGAUCCAAGCUUGAUAUGUAAGCUUCUCUCUCCUGUGAAUAUGGCACUGAGAGACACAAGAUUAGAAGCCCUGGGUGCUGAUCAAACUCAUAGCAAGGAAGAGUGGUGGCUCAAGACUGCCUGCUCCUGAGACUUCUGAGAAGGGUGUCUCUCUGUCUGUGUGGAUGCCUGAUGCUUCUGGUAUUUCACAAAUCUUGAGCCUGGCCAGGAGUUUACUAACAGGCACCCCUGUGUCAUCUGAACAAGAUAAAUAUCCCGCAGUGGAAUCAGCCUUCCCAGGGACCUCCCUGGACUCUGAGAAGUGAUUAAAGGGACUGUGCGGCAGUCAUGGGGAUGCAAGCAGCUGUGGCCAUCAAACUGGUUCUAACAGACAGUAUGAGAUCUUCAUGAUUCUGGACCAUAAGGAUUCCAAAUAGGCUGUUCACUUAUGAGUAGGCCUGUAACACGGACGUGUGAGAAUAAACGCCAGAGAAAAAUUUUUGAGCAGCAGCUUGCUGAUGCAUGUGAUUGCCAGGCAUGGGGCUGGACCCCUGCCCAGGAGUGGCAAGGACAGGUACCCAGGCCACAUAUGACUGUUGUGCAGCUGAUGUACUUGGCUUGCUACCUACCACCGAUAGUGAUCAUUCUAAGAUGCAAAACAAUGAACACACUCAAGCUGAUUUUGGAUUUGACCAUACACAUUUCUCAGAAGAGGGAGCUUUCCUGGAGAAGGUGAAGAAAGAGAAGGAUAUUUGGCAGUGCUGAUUGCAGCUCGCUCUAUGAGGACAUAUUCUCCUCAUCCACAGAAGCCCUUUUCAAACAUUACUAAGAAGUCUGAUAAGAAGAAAAAACAUCCACUGAUGGGUUCUCAGAAAGAAAGCAUUAGAUUUAACUACAGGGCAAUACUGCCCUGAUUACCACAGGCCCAGCUGACGGCAAGGUUGCCAGGCAGCUCUCGUCCUGCCAAGAAUGGUGGUGGAAUGAAGCAAGCAUGUGAUGCACGUGAUUGAUGACACUGUCACAAGUAUAUAUCAUCAUGGAAAUACCCAAAUAAGGUGUUUGAACACAUAUUUCUCAGAGGAGGAAGAUUUCCUGGAGAGGCUAAAGGAAGAGAGGAAGAUAUUUGGCAGCUGUUGAUUGAAAGAAUGCCACGCAAAGAAUCAGAUACGCAGAAAAUGCCAUGUGAAGAUGAAGGCAGAGCUCGGGGUGAUGCCUCUAGAAGCCAAGAAUGUCAAAGAUUGCCAGCAAACCACCGGAAGCAAGGAGAGAGGCAUGGGACAGAUUCUCCCUCCCAGUUCUCAGGAAAAAACAACCCUGCUGACACCUCGAUCUGGACUUGUUGCUUCCAGAACUGUGAGACUAUAUAUUUUUGUUGUUUAAGCCACCCAAUUUAUGGCAAUUUGGUAUAGCAGUUUUAGCAAAUGCAUACACUAAUCUGUGAACUAAGAGACAGGCAUAAAAAAACGGUAUGUUGCAGUGUGAUGAGGCUAAUAGUGGUAUCUGUGCAACACACAGGUGCGGCACAGAAAAGAGAAGGAUUGGUGUGAGUUUUGGGAAGGAGAUCUACACAAGCGGGGGGCACUGGCGAAAGGAAGGUUGCAAAGAAGGGCUGCGUGAGUCAGGUUUUGAAAGCUAAAGAUGAAGACUGAUCUCUCUCUAUGGGGGUUAUGGCAGUCACAGAUAAAGCCAACUGCUGUCCAAUAUUACCCCUAGUUUAUCUUAAAAAUCGUUGGUGGGAGCUGUGCAGAGAGGCCUUAACAGAUAUGGGAGCAAGCAAGUGGAUUUGGGGCCUAACAGUGGCAUGUGGUAAGCAGCCUGUGAUCUUGCACCAGUGGGUGUCGUUCCACUCCCAUCCCCCACCUCUGAUGUAGCACACCCUUUGUUCUCCCCUUUCUUUCUUCCUUUGAGUAAAUCUGUUUACUACCCAGAAAAACGAGGAAGGAAUAGGCCAAUUGCCCAGGGCAGAUGGUGCGACGUUAACAGAUGACACACAGAAAGCAGAACUCCUCAGCUCCUAUUUUCCUUUUACAUUCUCCAGCAAGGCUCUUCAAAUGAAAUAGCAUGAAAGAAACAUCAUUAAGAAGAAACUGAAACACAAGUCCGUGAGAGAUAGUGAGGGAACCCACUAUCUGGUUGAUUUAAAUGGUUUCAUGUGUUCAGAUCCAAGUGAGUUAUACCCAAAUAAUGAAAGAACUUACAGAAAAGACCAGUGAGCCACGAAGGAGACAUUCUUUUUAGUGAUUUUUCAAAAAGAAUUUCUGGAUAAUUUAAAAUGUGCUUCAAGCCUAGAGAAAGUGUGAGAAAUUCCCCCUCCAUUUUGAUUUCACCCAGAGAUGCAGCACUACCUACACCAAACAGAAUGUGAAUGUCUGCAAGUUCUACACAGUAUUUCCCAGGAGCUAAUUGGAUCAGAAGAAAAGGCAGUGCUGAUCACAGAGUUUGCCUGUCGGUCCCCAAACUGUAUUUCUAUUUUCCAAGUUCCUCAUCCCGAGGCUUUCUUCCCUUUCUUCUUCUGUCAGUACCCAUAAAUCCUGGGCUUCUUCCUUAUCCACCUCCCUCUUGUUCCUGUUCUGAUAAUCUUCCCAGUACAUUUGUCCAUCCAAGAACUGGCUGCUUGCUUGCUUUGGUCAGAUGACUCCUCUUAGGGUCUGGAUCCUUGAUUGACAGCUGGGACCAGGAACCUCUGAGCAAUCCAUCCCUCCGAUGCAGACUGUCCUUAUGAACUACACUUACUAUGAAUUCCAGUUCCCUUCUCACACAUUGGGCUCAUUUCUGCUUCUUGAACUAUGUCAUCAUUAUUCCUCCAUUCCAUAUUAAUUGGACACCAACUCUUCAAAACACAUCAUUACCCCAGGAUUAAGAGCCUAGGCUUUGGAGUAAGACUGUGCUUUUUAAUCUCUAAAAGUUAUAAAUCACAACUACUCACUUUUACAGGAUGGGAGAAGGACGACCUGUGAACUUUUCUUGUUAGGAAAGACUCGGGGACUGAGGUGACUGUCAGUCUCAGAACAGCCAUAUCUGAGACGAGGACCAAGGACCAAAGACCAAGUAGCUCUGUCUGAGACAAGGACAACCUCCAGAACAGCCUCCCAAAGCAAGUCUCUUCCCUCUGGCAGCAGAGAAGCGGAUUUUCUGCUCAACCUGCUUUGAUCACCAAAUGAGUCAGGGAGAAGAACAUGGAUGGAAAUAUCCUCAGUCAAGAACUUCACAAGCACCAGUUGCUUUAACCAGGGGCUCUAGAAAUUUUCUAGAAUAAAUGCUUCUCAAUUUGUAGUCUGCUUUUUGGUCACUUCACAGAUCAUUGGUAUGGUUACUUGUGACAAUUUUGUCCUUUUUUUUUUUCUUUUGAGACAGAGUGUCACUCUGUCACCAGGCUAGAGUGCAGUGGCAUGAUCUUGGCUCACUGCAACCUCCGCCUCGUUGGUUCAAAUGAUUCUCCUACCUCAGCUUCCCGAGUAGUUGGGACUACAGGCAGGCACCACCACACCCAGCUAAUUUUUCUAUGUUUAGUAGAGACGGGGUUUCACCAUGUUGGUCAGGAUGGUCUCGAUCUCUUGACCUCGUGAUCCGCCUGCCUCGGCCUCCCAAAGAAUUUUGUCCUGUUUUAUACUUGCUUUAUGAAGAGAAGAUUUCUCUGACCUCAUGCUACCAUAGUUGGAAGUUUCCCCUAGAUCUGAAGAUAUAUUUUCAAUUUAUAAAUAUGUGCUUUUAAAGAUGUGCCUUCUACUUUCCUUCUUCUCUUUCUGCAUAUGAAUAUUUAUUUAAGAGUAUAAACAUAGUUUUUUAAAGAUCAUCUACGGUUUAUCUACUUUGUGCAUGAUCCACAGUGACUCCGUUCCUGAUAUUAUUGCCUAGUUAGGUCUCUUAACUCAGACAAAAGAAUUCUAACAAAAGUGCAUUACAGUUAAAGACAGGGAGUUUAAUAUGUAUAAAUUUAUGUGUGUCUAUAAUUUAAGAGCAAGUAAAAUUUAUUUGAUUUGUGUUAUCUGUUAUGUCAUAAUUCACCUUUUAACUGUCAGAAAACAGCUUUUUCUGCUUCACUUCUACCUGGAAAAGCGUUCUUGGGAAAGUGCACUUGGUGAGGGUACCUUAGGAAAAUUUGAUACCCAAAUAAAAUGUUUUUUAAGCACUGUACAAA